UGAGUACGAGAUGCUACGGCAUCGAAGCAGUCCAUGUCAUACUUCCAAGAAAAGCUCGCACUGUCAGAAACAAAUGAAUGCCUGUACCAUAACCGACACAGGUGGGUAGGUAGAGUAUACUAAGGGGCGCGAGAUAACUCUCUCUAAGGAACUCGGCAAAAUGACUCCGUAACUUCGGGAGAAGGAGUGCCUUAUUUAUAAGGUUGCAAUAACCAGCUCCAAGCAACUGUUUAUCAAAAACACAGGUCUCCGCUAAGUCGUAAGACGAUGUAUGGGGGCUGACGCCUGCCCAGUGCCAGAAGGUUAAAGAAGUUGGUUAGCGCGAGAAAUCAAGCGAAGCUGAUAACUGAAGCCCUGGUGAACGGCGGCCGUAACGAUAACGGUCCUAAGGUAGCGAAAUUCCUUGUCGGGUAAGUUCCGACCCGCACGAAAGGCGUAAUGAUUUGGAGGCUGUCUCGGAGAGGGACUCGGUGAAAUAGACUUGUCUGUGAAGAUGCGGACUACCUGCACCAGGACAGAAAGACCCUAUGAAGCUUUACUGUAACUUGAGAUUGAAAUUGGACUUUAUUCGCGCAGUAUAGGUGGGAGGCAUUGAAAAUAUUCUUGCGGGAAUAUUGGAGCCAUCAGUGAGAUACCACUCUUGUAAUGUUAGAUUUCUAACUUUGUAUCAUUAUCUGGUCAAAGAACAGUUUCAGGCGGGCAGUUUGACUGGGGCGGUCGCCUCCUAAAUGGUAACGGAGGCGCACAAAGGUUUCCUCUGAACGGGUAGAAAUCGUAUCUAGAGUGUAAAGGCAUAAGGAAGCUUGACUGUGAGACCUACAAGUCGAGCAGGGACGAAAGUCGGUCUUAGUGAUCUGACGGUGCUGAGUGGAAAGGCCGUCACUCAACGGAUAAAAGUUACUCUAGGAUAACAGGCUGAUCUCCCCCAAGAGUUCACAUCGACGGGGAGGUUUGGCACCUCGAUGUCGGCUCAUCGCAUCCUGGGGCGGUAGUACGUCCCAAGGGUUGGGCUGUUCGCCCAUGAAAGCGGUACGCGAGCUGGGUUCAGAACGUCGUGAGACAGUUCGGUCCAUAUCCGGUGUAGGCGUUAGAAUAUUGAGAGGAGCCUUCUUUAGUACGAGAGGACCGAGAAGGACAUACCUCUGGUGUACCAGUUAUCGUGCCAACGGUAAACGCUGGGUAGCCAUGUAUGGAGUGGAUAACCGCUGAAAGCAUCUAAGUGGGAAGCCCACCUCAAGAUAAGUAUUCUCAU
rnacentral:rRNA from 1 species